CACGUAGGCACCAAGCGUUGUCCGGAUUUAUUGGGCGUAAAGAGCUCGUAGGCGGUGUGUCACGUCGGCCGUGAAAACCUGCAGCUUAACUGUGGGCGUGCGGUCGAUACGGGCAUCACUGGAGUUCGGCAGGGGAGACUGGAAUUCCUGGUGUAGCGGUGAAAUGCGCAGAUAUCAGGAGGAACACCGGUGGCGAAGGCGGGUCUCUGGGCCGAUACUGACGCUGGAGGAGCGAAAGCGUGGGAAGCAAACAGG
rnacentral:rRNA from 1 species